GGCAAGAUGGCCGAGCGGUCUAAGGCGCUAGCUUCAGAUGCUAGUCAAGAAAUUGGCAUGGGUUCGAAUCCCACUCUUGUCA